AACGAACGCUGGCGGCAGGCUUAACACAUGCAAGUCGAACGCCCCGCAAGGGGAGUGGCAGACGGGUGAGUAAUGCGUAGGAAGCUGCCCGAUAGAGGGGGAUACCAGUUGGAAACGACUGUUAAUACCGCAUAAUGUCUACGGACCAAAGUGUGGGACCUUCGGGCCACAUGCUAUCGGAUGCGCCUACGUGGGAUUAGCUAGUUGGUGAGGUAAUGGCUCACCAAGGCGACGAUCUCUAGCUGGUUUGAGAGGAUGAUCAGCCACACUGGAACUGAGACACGGUCCAGACUCCUACGGGAGGCAGCAGUGGGGAAUAUUGGACAAUGGGCGCAAGCCUGAUCCAGCCAUGCCGCGUGUGUGAAGAAGGCCUUCGGGUUGUAAAGCACUUUCAGCGAGGAGGAAGGGUGGUGUGUUAAUAGCACAUCAUUUUGACGUUACUCGCAGAAGGAGUACCGGCUAACUCUGUGCCAGCCGCCGCCGUAAGAC
rnacentral:rRNA from 1 species